rnacentral:rRNA from 1 species
GACGAACGCUGGCGGCGUGCCUAAUACAUGCCAGUAGAACGCUGAAGGAGGAGCUUGCUUCUCUGGAUGAGUUGCGAACGGGUGAGUAACGCGUAGGUAACCUGCCUGGUAGCGGGGGAUAACUAUUGGAAACGAUAGCUAAUACCGCAUAAUAGCAGUUGUUGCAUGACAACUGUUUGAAAGGUGCAAUUGCACCACUACCAGAUGGACCUGCGUUGUAUUAGCUAGUUGGUGGGGUAACGGCUCACCAAGGCGACGAUACAUAGCCGACCUGAGAGGGUGAUCGGCCACACUGGGACUGAGACACGGCCCAGACUCCUACGGGAGGCAGCAGUAGGGAAUCUUCGGCAAUGGACGGAAGUCUGACCGAGCAACGCCGCGUGAGUGAAGAAGGUUUUCGGAUCGUAAAGCUCUGUUGUAAGAGAAGAACGAGUGUGAGAGUGGAAAGUUCACACUGUGACGGUAUCUUACCAGAAAGGGACGGCUAACUACGUG